ACAUAUCAUAUAUAAAUGAUUUUAUUCAGUCCUGAUAGUAAUUAUUAAGAUUGAUGUGGCUUGGAAUUAGUAAAAUAUGUUCAAUGGAUCAGCGAGUGAGUGAGAACAGGUGUGGCCCUGAGAACUAUUAGCAUGUCAAAUCAGAACAAUGUCAAAGAGCAGCAUUCGCUAUAGGGUUCAGACAGACUGCACAACAAGAAGAUCUGUGGAGCAUCACAAACUACAGGAGAACUGAACAUUUGGAAAAGUGGAUUAUGGCAAACAAAGAGGAUGAGGUACAAUCUAAUGAACCAACAAAGAAAAAGGCGUCGAGACGAGUCAGACGGAACAGCAUUAACAGUGGAAAACCAAACUUUUUUCAUGAUGCAGACAGACCUGCAGAGAUUCAUUCUGAUCUUCAAGUCAAGUCACCUUUAUUUCUAUAGCGUUUUAUACAAUACAGAUAUUUACAUACACAGAGAAAAAAUACUAUGAAGAACUAAUGCACUUGUAACUUGUAAUAUCAUAAUGAAAUGAAUUUAGAAUUAAAUAAUUUUUUUGAUUGAAUUUCACUAAUGAAUCUGCACUGUAACAACACUGGCUGGCACUGAAAUUUAUUUUUAUUUUAAUUGUGUUUGUUCAUGUUGCAUAUUGUGCUUGUAUGACUGAAGUUCAAAUUUGUAAAAAAAAACAAAAAACAAAAAAAAAAAAAAAAUCAAAUGAACACCAAGCAAGCAAAGCACAAUGCAAAUCUCUCAAGCAGAGCACACUGGCUGUUCUGUAUUACAUGAUUUGUAUAAAGUCUUUGCAUCUUGUAUGCAAAGUUGCUGAGAUUACCCUUUCUCACUGACACUGCUGAUAUUGUAAGAUAGCUCAGUAGGACAAUGGUUUUAAUAGUUGUGAAAUAAAAGCAUUCUGAUAUAUAUGUGAGCUUCA
ensembl:lncRNA